UACGUAGGGUGCGAGCGUUGUCCGGAAUUACUGGGCGUAAAGAGCUCGUAGGUGGUUUGUCGCGUUGUUCGUGAAAACCGGGGGCUUAACCCUCGGCGUGCGGGCGAUACGGGCAGACUUGAGUACUGCAGGGGAGACUGGAAUUCCUGGUGUAGCGGUGGAAUGCGCAGAUAUCAGGAGGAACACCGGUGGCGAAGGCGGGUCUCUGGGCCGAUACUGACGCUGAGGAGCGAAAGCAUGGGUAGCGAACAGG
rnacentral:rRNA from 1 species